AGUCGAGCGGCAGCACGGGUACUUGUACCUGGUGGCGAGCGGCGGACGGGUGAGUAAUGCCUAGGAAUCUGCCUGGUAGUGGGGGAUAACGCUCGGAAACGGACGCUAAUACCGCAUACGUCCUACGGGAGAAAGCAGGGGACCUUCGGGCCUUGCGCUAUCAGAUGAGCCUAGGUCGGAUUAGCUAGUUGGUGGGGUAAAGGCCUACCAAGGCAUCGAUCAGUAGCUGGUCUGAGAGGACGACCAGCCACACUGGAACUGAGACACGGUCCAGACUCCUACGGGAGGCAGCAGUGGGGAAUAUUGGACAAUGGGCGCAAGCCUGAUCCAGCCAUGCCGCGUGUGUGAAGAAGGCCUUCGGGUUGUAAAGCACUUUCAGCGAGGAGGAAGGGUUAGUAGUUAAUAGCUGCUAAUUUUGACGUUACUCGCAGAAGAAGCACCGGCUAACUCUGUGCCAGCAGCCGCGGUAAU
rnacentral:rRNA from 1 species